CGCUGAUGAAUUAAUUUUUCUGAGUGUUUUCUUAGAGUUCCGUAACGGGCAUGAUAAGCACACAAAUUAUGAACCCUUUAACUCUGAGAG